rnacentral:rRNA from 1 species
CCUACGGGUGGCAGCAGUAGGGAAUUUUCGUCAAUGGGCGCAAGCCUGAACGAGCAAUGCCGCGUGAACGAGGACGGUCUUCGGAUCGUAAAGUUCUGUUGAAGGGGAAAAAGAGCGGACAGGGGAAAUGGUCUCCGAUUGAUAUUACCCUUCGAGGAAGUCACGGCUAACUACGUGCCAGCAGCCUCGGUAAUACGUAGGUGGCGAGCGUUAUCCGGAUUGAUUGGGCGUAAGGGGUGCGUAGGCGGCCUGCUAAGUCUGGAGUGAAAGGUACGGGCUCAACCGGUACAGGCCCUGGAAACUGGUGGGCUAGAGGGAGGGAGAGGGCGGUGGAACGCGAGGUGUAGCGGAAAAAGGCGUAGAUAUAAGGAAGAAAACCAGUGGCGAAGGCGGCCGCCUGGCGUGUUACUGACGCUGAGGCACGAAAGCGUGGGGAGCAAAUAGGAUUAGAUACCCUAGUAGUC